CCAAUAGCGUAUAUUAAAGUUGUUGCAGUUAAAAAGCUCGUAGUUGAAUUUCGGGAUCAAGUCGUCGGUCGUGCCUCGGUACGCACUGGUGACAUUGGUUUCUCCCUUCUGAAGAACCUUGAUGUCAUUAAUUUGGUGUCUUGGGGAAUCAGGACUGUUACUUUGAAAAAAUUAGAGUGUUUAAAGCAGGCUCACGCUUGAAUACAUUAGCAUGGAAUAAUGAAAUAGGACGUUUGAUUCUAUUUUGUUGGUUUCUAGGAUCGACGUAAUGAUUAAUAGGGAUAGUUGGGGGCAUUAGUAUUCAAUUGUCAGAGGUGAAAUUCUUGGAUUUAUUGAAGACUAACUACUGCGAAAGCAUUUGCCAAGGAUGUUUUCAUUAAUCAAGAACGAAAGUUAGGGGAUCGAAGACGAUCAGAUACCGUCGUAGUCUUAACCAUAAACUAUGCCGACUAGGGAUCGGAUGAUGUUAAUUUUUUAAGGACUCAUUCGGCGCCUUACG
rnacentral:misc_RNA from 1 species